rnacentral:lncRNA from 1 species
UCAGAGGUAGUUGGAUAUAUUAAAAUUACCAUGAUGGUAGUUUAAAUGACAAAUUUGCCUUUGGUGAUUUACAAUUAACAUAGGGUAUAUUAGAUCAUGCAAUCUAGGGGCGCAAAUAGAUCUGAUCAGACCAGAUUAUAAUUGAUCCGAAUCCUUGAUUGGAUCCUAUUGCUGGACUCAGAUCCAAACCCAAUAGAAGAUCAAGAUAAAUCGGAUCGGUUCUAUAGUUAAAAUUUUUGACCUAACAGAUCAUUUAGAAUGGAUUGGAUCUAGCUAUAAUCCGAUUCCAAUCCGAAAAUUUCGAAUAUAUCUGAGUCAAAUAUAUAGCCAACUAUAUUUGAAUUAUCAUAUAGCCCA